GAGAUUAUACUUUAUAUAGAAGAUCUAAUUUGCGUUUAGAAAGAGGUUUACCUAAUUUCA
rnacentral:tRNA from 1 species